rnacentral:rRNA from 1 species
UCCUACGGGAGGCAGCAGUUUCGAAUCAUUCACAAUGGGGGCAACCCUGAUGGUGCGACGCCGCGUGGAGGAUGAAGGUCUUCGGAUUGUAAACUCCUGUCAAGGGGGACUAAAAGCGGGGCUCAUACCCCCGCCUGCAUCAACCCCUAGAGGAAGCAGUGGCUAACUCUGUGCCAGCAGCCGCGGUAAUA